GCUGUAAUAAUGAGAUGCCAUGAAAGUGUGAUAGAAAACAGGGGCGAUGCUUUGAAGCGGCCGGGAGGGGCGCCCGACCCCCCGAACUUUUCAGCCAGUAGUGUUAUAUAUGUAGUUUUCGUAUAGAAAUUUUUGGGUAUAUACGUUUUCGACCCCCCCGUAAAAAAUUUCAAGCUUCGCCAAUGAUAGAAAAACGAGAGGCUAGUGUUUUGGCUGCAAUCAACCUUUUUGGACGGACCACUGAGAUAAUAAAAGGGCUUGAAACGCAUGAACUACUGAACAUGGAUCCUGAUAAGAUGGGGUUUAUCGAUGAGUGGCGUCUUCAUCUAAAGCAACCUUAGAACUCGCGGUGAUUCAUAUGAAGUCAAGGUCAAGAAAAGAACUGUUUCAUGGACAACCUAAGACAUGUCAGCUUCAAGUAUAAUGAUAUAUGGUUUUCUGUUUGAAAAUGUGUCUUCUCUUUCUCUUUUUAAGUUAUUUGCAACAUGGGUGUAUUAUAUUUAAUGUGUUAGUUGUUGUAUUAUCUUGAAUACAACUCAAAUUAA